rnacentral:rRNA from 1 species
UACAGAGGUCUCAAGCGUUGUUCGGAUUCAUUGGGCGUAAAGGGUUUGUAGGUGGCUUGUUAAGUCAGACGUGAAAUCCCUCAGCUUAACUGGGGAACUGCGUCUGAUACUGGCGAGCUUGAGUGCAGGAGAGGAACGCGGAAUUCCAGGUGUAGCGGUAAAAUGCGUAGAUAUCUGGAGGAACACCGGUGGCGAAGGCGGCGUUCUGGACUGCAACUGACACUGAGAAACGAAAGCCAGGGUAGCAAACGGG